AGAAAGAAUGCUCAACCACAAAGUUCAAAAGACAGUGUUCCUGUUUCAAGAAUUAGCAUUCCCUUUCCUCCCAAGGGACCUGAACAGGUCACUCCUCCAAAGCCCCAACAGGUUAUUCAGAAAAUUGAAUCUAAAGCGGAGCCAGGUGAACUAACAAAGAAUGUUGCAACUGCUACUCCUGCGCCUAAAAUUGAUUAUGCUACUGACCUUUUCAACAUGUUAUCUGUGGAUGGUACAAGUGAAAAUUGCUCAGAGGCAGCUUCCAGUGAUGAUAAUGGAUGGGCAGGUUUU
rnacentral:misc_RNA from 1 species